rnacentral:piRNA from 1 species
UGCAGAACUCUUUUCUACCUUCCC